rnacentral:lncRNA from 1 species
GAGCAAUCCUGGGGAUGCACGGAGCAACCCUGGGAUGCACGGAGCAAUCCUGGGGAUGCACAGAGCAAUCCUGGGAUGCACGGAGCAACCCCACGGAGCAAUCCUGGGGAUGCAUGGAGCAAUCCUGGGAUGCACAGAGCAAUCCUGGGGAUGCACAGAGCAAUCCUGGGAUGCACGGAGCAAUCCUGGGAUGCACGGAGCAACCCUGGGGAUGCACGGAGCAAUCCUGGGGAUGCACGGAGCAACCCUGGGAUGCACGGAGCAACCCUGGGGAUGCACGGAGCAAUCCUGGGAUGCACAGAGCAACCCUGGGGAUGCACGGAGCAAUCCUGGGGAUGCACGGAGCAACCCCACGGAGCAGCCCUGGGAUGCACGGAGCAGCCUCUGGAAGUGGAAAAGCCACUGCCAGCGAGCAUCAGAGCCGGGGAUGGAGAGAUGGCACACGGGGAGGGAGGAGAAGCUUGGCUCUCACCAGAGCUCUCAGCACACGGAUCAGCACCAGGCUGGGAACUCACCGCCAGUGCCAGAAGCAGAGAAGUGCUCCCCGGGGGACUGCCAAGAGCCGGGAGGUAGCCAGAGUUCAGCAAGGAACUAUUGGCAGGACGCGCCAGAACACGCACAGGGCCAUAAAUCCUCCAGCUCCGGGGCCACGAACCAGCCCGCGGCUCUGCAGGGCCAGGAGGGGACUUUUCCGGGGGGAAAGGUUAUCUCCUCGCUGGCCCUGGCUCUCGCAACAGGGGCUGGCCGGGCUCCGACAGGAUUCCGGGGCCGAGCAGACCUCCCGACCUGCGCCGGGCUCCGAAUUCCUGCGGUUUCGCUGGGCUGGACGGGAAGCAAGCAGGCAGACUUGCCACGGCUCCCUACCUGCCCGGGGCCCGCAGCCGCAGCCGGGGGGCCCUCGGCGGCUGUUUGUGCUCAGGACAAAACCCAGCGAACAAAGGCAGCGACCGGCACGGUCAGCACAACGCGCUGGGGGCCGGGGAGGGAGCCCCGCGGCCGCU